GACGAACGCUGGCGGCGUGCCUAAUACAUGCAAGUCGAGCGCAGGAAACUGACGGAACUCUUCGGAGGAAAGGCAGCGGAAUGAGCGGCGGACGGGUGAGUAACACGUAAGGAACCUGCCUCAAGGAUUGGGAUAACUCCGAGAAAUCGGAGCUAAUACCGAAUAGUUCAACGGACCGCAUGGUCCGCUGAUGAAAGGCGCUCCGGCGUCACCUUGAGAUGGCCUUGCGGUGCAUUAGCUAGUUGGUGGGGUAACGGCCCACCAAGGCGACGAGGCAUAGCCGACCUGCGAGGGUGAUCGGCCACACUGGGACUGAGACACGGCCCAGACUCCUACGGGAGGCAGCAGUAGGGAAUCUUCCACAAUGGACGAAAGUCUGAUGGAGCAACGCCGCGUGAGUGAUGAAGGUUUUCGGAUCGUAAAACUCUGUUGUAAGGGAAGAACACGUACGAGAGGGAAUGCUCGUACCUUGACGGUACCUUACGAGAAAGCCACGGCUAACUACGUGCCAGCAGCCGCAGUAA
rnacentral:rRNA from 1 species